rnacentral:lncRNA from 1 species
AUCACCCCAAAUGGACGGGGUCGGACGGAGUUAUGGUGCAAUGAAAAUCAUUCCUGCCAAGCCAGCAACUGCAGAUGAAAGGCAGGGUGAGUCACACCAGCUCUCCAGUCCCUGGCAGAAGCAACAUCUCCCUCUGCAGCCCGAACAGCCCGUGAAUCAGGUGCCAGCCACAGGCAGCUCCAGACGCCAGCGUGUUCUCCUGAGACGAUGCAACAUCCAAUUCCUUGAAGCCUCACCUGCUAGGACCUGCUUUCCAAUGUCUGGACUCCUCUUGCUCUCUUCUUGUUUGCUUCCAAGCUCCGGACAGUCCACCCUUGGCCUAGCAUCCCUCGGCCAGACAUUGCACCAUUUCCAUUUUAGGACGAGAUUUGAAAAGCUGCUCGGUUUAGCUUUCAAUGUUGUUGGAGCUCCCAUGGGUGGUGUCUGGGAUGAUGCGACAGCAGGGGAACAGAUUCUGGCAUCUCCUCUUACUUACAGGAACAUAUGGACACUAUUUUCUUGCUGCUCAAAAUAGUCAAGGCCUGGCACCACCGACCACAAGAUGCUGACCAGGACACGUCACUUGCUUAACCGCGAAGCCUCGUUUUCUUCAUUCCAUGAGACAAGCAUGGCUUGAUGAGCUGUGUAUAGGUCCACACCUGGGAUUCGAACCCACGAACCCUGCGCUGCCGGAGUGGAGCAUGCAAACUCAGCCACCAUGCCACCGGGCUGGCCUCUCAAAAAUGGUGUCUCGGUCCAGGUCAGCCUCAAGCUAGAUGACCAAUGGAGAAAAAUGCCCAGCAAUUGGCCCAAGAAAGUGCUUACCAGGGUGACCGAGCCAAGGAUCCAUUAGCAUCGUGGAAGAGGAAGUUUGUGCUUCAAAGCCUGCUGGGUUCUUAGACACACAUUCCCCACAGCCUUUUGGUCUGUCCUUAGUUCCAGCUCCCCCUGAGCUUACCUGCGCGUUUAAAGGUACCACCUGAACACACCUGAGCUCGCCAACUCCAACUCGACAGAGACUUCAGAUCAUGUCAGGUUCUCGGUUCCCUGCUUCCACCUUCAUUAAAAAAAUAAGCAAAAUAAUUAUUCUGUUUUAUCUGUUACAGAAUUCAUGUUCAUUAUGUUCAUUGCAGAAAUGUUGGGAAAUAAAGAACAAAAUAAAAACUUCCUUUAAUCCAGUCACAGAGAGGAUUGGAUCCACACCACAAGUAACAUUUUGUUAUACCUCCCCUCACUAGACACACACACACACUCACAACAUAUAUUAUAAAAUAUAUUCUGUUUAUUCUUUAUAUAUUAUAAUACAUAUAUAUUUUGCUUGUUCUAUUAAUAUAUAAAUAUUUGUGCAUAUCUGUAACAAGAUAUGGACAUUUAUUAAAAUUAGGAUUUUGGGCCGGCCCCGUGGCCGAGUGGUUAAGUUCGCGCGCUCCGCUUUGGCGACCCAGGGUUUUGCUGGUUUGGAUCCUGGGUGCGGACAUGGCACCGCUCAUCAGGCCACGGUGAGGCAGCAUCCCACAUGCCACAACCAGAGGGACCCACAACUAAAAUAUGCAACUAUGUACUAGGGGCAUUUGGGGAGAAAAAGCAGAAAAACAAGCAAACAAAAAGACUGGCAACAGCUGUUAGCUCAGGUGCCAAUCCUAAAAAAAAAAUUAGACUUUUAUGAACACACUUUUCCAUUUUUUCUCACUAAAUAAUAUAACGUGAACAUUUCUUCGAGGAACCCUGCCCGCCAGCAGCCACGAGCCGUGCUGGGGCCAAGGUUCUGUUACAUCAUAUUGCUGUUGCAUCCUGGCCCCUGUUCCCACCAGGCUGGAGCUGGCGCUUUUUAAUCAGGUAGCUUCAAAUCUUUGCAGCCCAAGUGUCGGGCUCCGUCUCCCCGAGCCUCACGUCCAGCACUUCCAGAUCCCUUCGGUCAACGGAUUCCCGGGCGGGGCUCCACCCACCUGCACCUUAUCCUGUCUCUGGAGUCUCCCCAGUGAGUGGCGCUCCGGCAGGACUGUUUGUCCACGACACUAGGUAGAUCUGUACAGCUCAUGCCCUCCCUUCCUUAUGAUCCCUGCUCAAAUGUCACUUUACCCCAGUGGUCCUACCUGACCUCCUCAUGUAAAACACCUGAUGGAAAAUGAUGAAAAACAACUUUCUCCAGUCUGUGCACUGGCAAUCCUUAUCAGCCUCAUUCUACUCAAAUAUUUACAUAUGCUUAUCAAAUCCUAACAUAGAAUUUAUAUAUGUAUCUAAGUUUCUAUAUAUUUAACUGUAUCUAUGUAUCUAACUAUGUAUCUAUAUAUCUUAGUGCUUAUCUAUCUAUCAUAUGCACUAAUCUAUGUAUGUAUGUAUGUACUUAUCUCUCUAUCUAUCCAUCCAUCGACCUAAUGUAAUUAUGUAGGUAUGUAUGUAUCCAUCCAUCCACCUAAUGAAUGUAUGUCAGUAUGUAUCUAUCCAUCCAUCGACCUAAUAUACGUAUGUAUGUAUCUAUCUAUAUAUCCACCUAAUCUAUGUGUGUAUGUGUGUGUAUAUGUAUGCAUCCACCUAAUGUAUAUAUGUGUGUGUAUCUAUCCAUCCAUCCCCCUGCCUCACUAUUGUUGAUCCCAAGCACUUAGUACCCUGCCUUGGAUAUGUUUGACAAAUAUCUGUUGAAUGAACAAAUGUAUAGGAAUUAAUUUCUCUCUCCUAUUUUCUCUGUUAUCUAAAACAAUUAAAGUAAACCUGAAACUACUAUAAUGUUCUAUGUCAAUUAUACCUCAAUCAAUGUAAAAAAACAAGUUCUUCGUGUCAAUGUGGUUUUGACACCCAAACAAAUGUAGGCACUGAGGUCACAUGGCAUCACUUGGUCCAAAUGUAGCUAUUCAUGUGACUCAGGAUACAAUUACAUUAAAAUUUUUCUGGAAUAUUAGCCAAAUGAACAACACACAAAACAUUAUUGUGAGUAGGGUUGCAAAUUUACUCAUAUGAUACAGUAAUGUGCAAACAAAAUGUUUAUUUCUUCUAUAACCACUCACUCACCGCUGCACUGGGUUGUAAGGAAAAGCGAUCCAGCACGCUGCAAUACUUUCAACAAUCUCUCAGCUUCUCCUCUGCAUCUUUAGAACAUCAUCAUCCCUGCCCUGCUUGCCUCUGAGUUGGCACCAGGGACUGGAGGCAGGUGUACGGCGGGUUCUUGUGGGUUCAUGGAGCCUUGCUGGCCUCAGCUGCCAAGUGGCCCCUCUGCUCCCUGGACUGGUCCCCAUGAGGCAUUGCUGGUGUGUGUUUCUGAAUGCUGUGACAAGGGUCGGUGCUGGUCUGCUUCUUGUGCUGGGUUGUGUUCCUGGUGGUCGCUGCCAUCGCACUUUGCUCCUUGUGCCUUUGCCACCCCGACUGCUACACGUUAGAGACUCUCUCCCCCAACCCUCAUACAUCGGCCCUGGCCUCCUUUGUGCCCUUUGCUGCAGGGUAGUGCAGCCCCCAGCCCACCCCCAAUGGCAGCCCACUGGCUCUUCUGUUGGCCUCCACAAGGCAUGAGGGAUUCCGGGUGUCUUUGAAGACCCAGUCAAGCUGGAGGGCCUCCGUGUAGUCAUCCUAGAAUAAAUACUCACAGCUUACUCAUUCCUGACCCUUCAGCUGGGGUGACCAGAAUUUGACGUCUCUACAGUGUUUCACAAUAGCGUACCUUGAAAACUUUUUUCCAUUGUGACAGUGAUUAUGACCACACAAUGACAGCAUAGCCAGGCAAAAUGUGGAAAGGUUGGUAAAUUGCUAAAGUGAUUAAUUAAUGCUUGUAAAGUUACAAAAUAUAUCCAUUGAUACUAUAAUGAUUCAUUGAACAUUCCAUUAAAAUACGUUGGCAUCAUAUAUAACAGGGGUUGGAAAACUCUGGCCUGCAGGUCAAAUCUGGUCCUCUGCUUGUUUUUGUAAAUAAAGUUUUAUUAGCACAUAGCCACUCCCAUUUGCUUAUACAUCGUCUAUGGCUGCUUCAUGCUAGAAGGGCAGAGUUGAGUAAUUGCAACAGAGACCAUACUUUUGAAGCCCAAAUUAUUUACUAUCAGGCCCUUGACGGAAAAAUUUGUCAUCUCUGCUCUAUGUCUAGUAUGAAACGAUAGUUAUCUUUAGCUCUGAGACAUGCAGCUGGGGAUGAAGAGUUUGAAACAACACAGUGAACAAAGGUGACAAGAGUGAAAAUCCUCUGUCUGCAACCAAAGGAAACCAAAACAAAGAAAGCUGGUUUGCUCCAGAGUUUCUACUUUAUUGUUUAUCAUUGAGCUAUGUUUUUCCACAAACACAGGAUGAUGGUUAAAAACAUAAAGUUUUUGAGGAGAUGAUUUCCCAUAAACACUCUGCCUUCACAAAAAGGAGUCAUCUUGAGCCACAGAAGAAAUAUUGGAGACAUUUUUAAGCCUCUGUUUUGGGAUCUGAUUCCCACGUGGUUUGAAGACCCUGUUCAUAUCAUUUCUAGAGAUGGGAAGUAGAUUUGGAGUCUGACGACCUGGGUUCACAUCCUAGUAAUGGAACCAACCCCCAUGACCAUAGACAAGAUGAGUGUCCCACGUGGCCUCUGUUUUCCUAGCUGUGAAAUGGACCCAUCUGGGAAGAGGAGCUCUGAUGGCCCUUCCAGCUCGAAAAUCCUGACUCUGUGCUUCCAAUUUAAUGGAAAUGUUGGCCCCAUUCUGACUCUACCCCAUGAGAAUGUGAUGGUAUGACAUUAAAACGAUAAGGAUGCUCUAGAUAUGAAAUUCUACUGUUGAAUCCGUAUUGCACCCAAGGUCUAAAGAACCAGUUAUUCAAUUUAACCAGCUGAGGGAGUAGACAUGGCUAACAUUUGGGCUCAGCAGCUAAAGCUUUUCUGGAAACAGACCUCCUGGGGCCAUGAAGGAGGAAGGAAUUCCGAUCGUGGAGAUAUCAACUGAAAGGUCCACCUGGACGUCGUGAACAGCUCUACAUGUGGGCCGUGGCGCUCAGACCAGUGACACACAAUAUCCCAGAAUCUGUUUUGUAUUUAGGAAAAAAUUUACAGUGAAUACAUGACAUUUAGAGCACACUCAUGGCAGAUGAUUUCAAUUGUGUAGUUCUUAAAUGUUUGCACGUCCUAACAUCUUUCCGGCCUCCAGCACAGCUCUGCUCUGAGUGGCACGUCCAUUAUUAUCCCUCCGUGAGUGUGUGAGCCUGUGCUAAAUUUCACAGUCCCUGGACUCCCAGCAUCUGGGAUACGGAGGGUGGGGGUGUGGGUGAGGUGACUCAGCCUGGGGUGCACCCAACACAACACUGCAACACUGUAAUUCAGUUCCUUACGAGAAAGCAGAAUGCAAUUCACACAACGCUUUGCUGGUAUCAGCCUGCACUGAGAUAAAACAGCUCAGAGGCCGUAUUGGCCUGCCUGGGAUAGUCGUUGUGAGGGUUCAGUAAGAUAAAGAUUCCAGUGUUUAGCCCAGCGUCUGGAUCUCAGGAACAGCUCUGUAAAUGAUGCAUAUUCUUACGGCAGUGGAAAAGCUGUUAGAAAGAAUCGAGAGCUAUCCAACUGUACCUGGGUAUUUCUGUGUGUUUUAAUUAUGAUCUAUCCUGUGUGCUCAAAGAGUUCUGAAAGCGUGGGCUGUGACAGCUAGAAGGGAUCCUAGAAAUCAAUGUUUGGACCAGGAUACCAGGAGCCAGAGGAUUCAAGUGGCUCAUGAAUGGCCACACAAGGUAUUCAUGGCAGGAUGGUCUUUAAUUUUUACAUUAUUUUUAAUUGAAGAUUCACAGAAAGAACAAAGUUUUCCAGUCUAUAUUCCUUAGGACACAGCGAUAUUAAUUCCUGCCUCACUGGGCUGCUGGGCAAAGGAAGCGACAACCCUGAGCAGAUGGGGCAUGGGCUGAGCACUGCAUAUUGGCAUCUAUUAACAUCGCCACCCUCGAGGAGGUGUGUCCUCAGGACACCCGCACCCCACUCCUGCCAGGCCCCCUCCUGUGACGGGCAC